GUCCACGCCGUAAACUAUGGGUGCUAGCCGUCGGCGAGCUUGCUCGUCGGUGGCGCAGCUAACGCAUUAAGCACCCCGCCUGGGGAGUACGGCCGCAAGGUUAAAACUCAAAGGAAUUGACGGGGGCCCCGCACAAGCGGUGGAGCAUGUGGUUUAAUUCGACGCAACGCGAAGAACCUUACCAGCCCUUGACAUGCACCGGAAUGCCCGCAGAGACGUGGGCAGCCGCAAGGCCGGUGCACAGGUGUUGCAUGGCUGUCGU
rnacentral:rRNA from 1 species